AUGGAGGACGUGAAGCUGGAGUUCCCCUCGCUCCUGCAGUGCAAAGAUGACGCCGAGGAAUGGACAUACCCUAUGAGACGAGAGAUGCAGGAAAUUUUACCUGGAUUGUUUUUAGGUCCAUAUUCUUCUGCUAUGAAAAGCAAGCUACCUAUACUGCAGAAAUAUGGAAUAACCCAUAUAAUAUGCAUAAGACAAAAUAUUGAAGCAAACUUUGUUAAACCAAACUUUCAACAAUUAUUUAGAUAUUUAGUCUUGGAUAUUGCAGAUAAUCCAGUUGAAAAUAUAAUACGUUAUUUUCCCAUGACUAAAGAAUUUAUUGAUGGAAGCUUACAAACUGGAGGAAAAGUUCUUGUCCAUGGAAAUGCAGGAAUCUCCAGGAGAGAUGCAUUUGCUUAUGUUCAAGAAAGAAGAUUUUGUAUUAAUCCUAAUGCUGGAUUUGUUCAUCAACUUCAGAGCUGGAACAAAUAAUCCUAAAAUUUGUA